UCGGUUCUCCGCGAAGAAUAGAACCCUAAUUCUCCUAAUCGCAUCUAUCCUUCGUUACUUCCGCGUGGUACAUCGAAUGCUUUUUUCUGUACGUGAUCUUUAAUCGGCAGAUCUGCAUUUAGUUUUCCCGAGUUUGAUUUGCAUUGCGAACUCUGGCACUGGACUUGGUUUCUUUUCCUUUCACCGCUCGAUACGCCAUCAUCGUGCAACUAUCGACGAGUUUCGCGCACAGAGAUUUCUGAUUUGUUCUCUGGGAUCCUGUUUCUGAUGAUCCCAGAUCGAAAGUCAUGGCUGAAUGGGAGCACAAAAUGUCUUUUUUUGGUGAUUAUACUUGAUGCGUUUCUAUACAGUGAUGCGUGAUUAACUAUCAACGAUUUAACUGUAUAGUUUGUUUUGUAGCCAAGAAAAGGGAGAAAAAAGGAGAAAACUAGCACCGAAGCAAGUUUGAGAUUAUUGACACAAUGUCGGCUGAUUCCCUUACUUCAUUUAGCAUCGCUGUUUGUGUCCUCCAAUUUGCAUGAAUUAUACAUUUUGAUUUGGUAAUUGAUGUUGGU
rnacentral:lncRNA from 1 species